AUACGUCAUCUAGUAAUAAUGGAAUUGUUCUAUUUUUUGAGGGGUUUCAAAAGUUGGGCCAUGAUUUAGAGGGACAGUCGGGAACAUUCACAUUGUGCCGCAAAAGAUGAAAUGUGAUUUGGACCAAUGCAAGACAAACCAAAGAAAAAGCAUUGGCCAAGAAUGUUUUCAUUAAUUAAGAAUGAAAGUUGGAGGUUUGAACAUGUUUAGAUACCAAUGUAGUUCAAACCAUAAAAGAUGCCAAUUUAUGGUC